rnacentral:rRNA from 1 species
CGCUCUUCGAUUAUUACAAGUUUUAAAAAUGGAGAGUCGGACCUGCCCAGUGACUAGAGUGUUAAACGGCCGCGGUACUCUGACCGUGCAAAGGUAGCAUAAUCAUUUGCCUUUUAAUUGGGGGCUAGUAUGAAUGGUUUGACGAGAACUAAGCUGUCUCUGCCUAAAUUUUUAGAAAUUAUUUUUUAGGUGAAGAAUCCUAAAUUUAGUUGAGGGACAAGAAGACCCUAUUGAGCUUAAGUAAAAUCUCAUACAUUAAUAUAAUAGAUAUAGAAAUUUCAUAACAUGAAAAGAGUGUGUGUUGUAAAUCUUUAGUUGGGGCGAUUAAGGAAUACAAAAAGCUUCCUUGAAAUAUCAAUAAGUGAUUGGCAGUCAUGCUAGUAAGAUGAGAUCCAGUAUUUUACUGAUCAGCGGAAAAAGUUACCAUAGGGAUAACAGCGUAAUCUUUCUGGAGAGUUCUUAUCGAAAGAAGGGUUUGCGACCUCGAUGUUGGACUAAGAUAUCCUAGAGGUGUAGCNGCUUCUGAGGGUUGGUCUGUUCGACCAUUAAANU